CGUUCCCGGGCCUUGUACACACCGCCCGUCACACCAUGGGAGUUGGUUUUACCUGAAGACGGUGUUCUAACCCGCAGGGGAGGAAGCCGGCCACGGUAAGGUCAGCGACUGGGGUG
rnacentral:rRNA from 1 species